GAUGAACGCUGGCGGCGUGCUUAACACAUGCAAGUCGAACGGAAAGGCUCCUGCUUGCAGGGGUACUCGAGUGGCGAACGGGUGAGUAACACGUGAGUGAUCUGCCCUGCACUUCGGGAUAAGCCUGGGAAACUGGGUCUAAUACCGGAUAGGACGAUGGUUUGGAUGCCAUUGUGGAAAGUUUUUUCGGUGUGGGAUGAGCUCGCGGCCUAUCAGCUUGUUGGUGGGGUAAUGGCCUACCAAGGCGUCGACGGGUAGCCGGCCUGAGAGGGUGUACGGCCACAUUGGGACUGAGAUACGGCCCAGACUCCUACGGGAGGCAGCAGUGGGGAAUAUUGCACAAUGGGCGCAAGCCUGAUGCAGCGACGCCGCGUGGGGGAUGACGGCCUUCGGGUUGUAAACUCCUUUCGCUAGGGACGAAGCGCAAGUGACGGUACCUGGAGAAGAAGCACCGGCUAACUACGUG
rnacentral:rRNA from 1 species